UACAGAGGGUGCAAGCGUUGCUCGGAAUCAUUGGGCGUAAAGGGUAGGUAGGUGGUCUCGUUUGUCUGGGGUGAAAGCCCCAGGGCUUAACCCUGGAAGUGCCCCAGAAACGGCGAGACUAGAGUAUUGGAGAGGGUCGUGGAAUUCCCGGUGUAGCGGUGAAAUGCGUAGAGAUCGGGAGGAACACCAGAGGCGAAGGCGGCGACCUGGACAAUUACUGACACUCAACUACGAAAGCGUGGGGAGCAAACAGG
rnacentral:rRNA from 1 species